rnacentral:rRNA from 1 species
UCCAGACUCCUACGGGAGGCAGCAGUGGGGGAUAUUGCACAAUGGGGGAAACCCUGAUGCAGCGACGCCGCGUGAGUGAAGAAGUAUUUCGGUAUGUAAAGCUCUAUCAGCAGGGAAGAAAAAAGACGGUACCUGACUAAGAAGCCCCGGCUAACUACGUGCCAGCAGCCGCGGUAAUACGUAGGGGGCAAGCGUUAUCCGGAUUUACUGGGUGUAAAGGGAGCGUAGACGGCAAUACAAGUCGGAAGUGAAAUACCCGGGCUCAACCUGGGAACUGCUUUGGAAACUGUAUGGCUGGAGUGCUGGAGAGGUAAGCGGAAUUCCUAGUGUAGCGGUGAAAUGCGUAGAUAUUAGGAGGAACACCAGUGGCGAAGGCGGCUUACUGGACAGUAACUGACGUUGAGGCUCGAAAGCGUGGGGAGCAAACAGGAUUAGAUACCCGGGUAA